GGCCUCCCUCUGUGGGGCAAUUGAUUGGUGGGGAUUCCAUGAUCGAUUGCCCCACAGAGGGAGGCC
rnacentral:pre_miRNA from 1 species